CUCAGACAGUCCAUUUCAUUUGGCAGGUCAACUGAACACAAUUCAAUUCAAUUUUAUUUACGUAUUUAGUCCAGUAUUUACAACAAUAGUUAUCCAAUGGGCUUCAACACAAACAAGGAAAGGCUGGUCCUCUUAAGAGCGACAAUCUCAGUUUACUUUUAAAUGGAUUCUGAUGCAGUUCACUUGAGUGUGAGUGGCAAUUUCUGACCUGAAUCAAGAUAAAGACAAUGUGAGAAAUGUUGGCAAAAUGUUACAAUAAAUGUUAAGUUUUAGUUUUUUCCUUUGUUUUAUUUAAUUUAAUGACAACAAACAAAAAUGAUAGAAACUGAACUGUGAUGCUUUCACUGUGAGAGGAAACACUUUGACAUCCAACUUGUCUUUCAAUAAAAUCCAGAUCACAUAAAAUGUACAAUAAGAAAAGAACAAAAGGAUUUCACUUGACAUUUACUUUGUUUCUAAGUUUUAAGAAAAUUGUAUUUUUUUACUUGAAUGACUAAUUAUUAAUUUAGCGUUAUUUUGUAUGCAGGCAUGCUUUUCAAAGUCGUUUUUUUAUGUUGGAAAAUAAUGUUUAAAAGCAGGGAUCCUUUCUACAUGUGUUUGGGUGGAGAUUGUGUGGGAGGAGAUUAGAAAACAACACAUUUGCCUUUUUUUCAUUAAAUAUUUGUAAUCAUGACUUUUGCAUGAGGAGGUCUUUGCAAAGCUCCUUCUUCAUAAACAGACCAAAGAAACAAGAACAGGUUCUGACAGAACACUGAAACACUUUUCUUCAUGUUUGUGACUUUACUUUGAAAAACUGAAAGACAGUAACUUAAAGUAGAAAUGACACAAAUCUGGAGUUUAGUAUUUUUACUUUUCCUGCAAGGAGUCUUGAGUCAGAUCAAACUGGAUCAGAGUCCAAAUGUGGUGAAAAAACCUGGAGAAACUGUGAAGAUGUCAUGUGUCUGUUCUGGUUAUAGCAUGACAAGCUUCUACAUCCACUGGAUCAGACAGAAACCAGGAAGAGCUCUGGAGUGGAUUGGACGUAUGAACACAGGAAACAACUCUCCCACAUAUUCCAGUUCUUUUCAGGGUCGUUUCCUCAUGACUGAAGUUGUGUCCAGCAGCUCUCAGUACCUCGAGAUCAGCAGCCUGACAGCAGAAGAUUCUGCUGUUUACUUCUGUGCACGAUCAAGCACAGUGACUGAAGACAGUGAAGCAGCUGCACAAAAACCUCCACAAACAACAAACAUCAGAUCAUAGAGUCAUUUCAGUUCACUCAAGU